CUGCUCGCUUCGGCAGCACAUGUACUAAAAUAGGAACAAUACAGAGAAGAUUAGCAUGGCCCCUGCACAAGGAUGACUCCCAAAUUUGUGAAGCGUUCCAUAUUUUU
ensembl:snRNA U6 U6 spliceosomal RNA